rnacentral:misc_RNA from 1 species
AGUCGUAACAAGGUUUCCAUAGGUGAACCUGUGGAAGGAUUAUUAAAGAUGAACCUCCACAAGAGGUGUUUUCGUUCUGAUCUGAGAAAGGAACCAUGUUGCAACCCUUACCCGUACUGUGGUAGGCUUCGGGGACCACGUUUUUACUUGAACACAGAAGUCGCACAUGAUGCGUUCGCCUAGUGGUGGCCUGCCCCUUUCAACAAACACCAUUCUACCUGACUGAACUUUUUUACGAACACACAAGAUAAAUCGAAAUACAACUUUCAGCAACGGAUCUCUUGGUUCUC